rnacentral:pre_miRNA from 1 species
UAUGUACUCCCUCUGUUCGGAAUUACUCGUCGAAGAAAUGAAUGUACCUAGAUGUAUUUUAGUCGUAGAUACAUUCAUUUUUAUGACAAUUAAUUCCGAACGGAGGAAGUACUUA